rnacentral:rRNA from 1 species
CGCCCUUAGAGUUUGAUCCUGGCUCAGAUUGAACGCUGGCGGCAUGCCUAACACAUGCAAGUCGAACGGGAACGAUGGGAGCUUGCUCCCAGGCGUCGAGCGGCGGACGGGUGAGUAAUACCUAGGAAUCUGCCCAGUAGUGGGGGACAACUCGGGGAAACCCGAGCUAAUACCGCAUACGCCCUACGGGGGAAAGCGGAGGAUCUUUCGGGACUUCGCGCUAUUGGAUGAGCCUAAGUCGGAUUAGCUUGUUGGUGAGGUAAAAGCUCACCAAGGCGACGAUCCGUAGCUGGUCUGAGAGGACGAUCAGCCACACUGGGACUGAGACACGGCCCAGACUCCUACGGGAGGCAGCAGUGGGGAAUAUUGGACAAUGGGGGCAACCCUGAUCCAGCAAUGCCGCGUGUGUGAAGAAGGCCUGCGGGUUGUAAAGCACUUUCAGUAGAGAAGAAAAGCUUACGGUUAAUACCCGUGGGUCUUGACGUUACCUACAGAAGAAGCUCCGGCUAACUCCGUGCCAGCAGCCGCGGUAAUACGGAGGGAGCGAGCGUUAAUCGGAAUUACUGGGCGUAAAGCGCGCGUAGGCGGCUUUGUAAGUCGGAUGUGAAAGCCCUGGGCUCAACCUGGGAAUGGCAUUCGAUACUGCAAAGCUAGAGUAUGGUAGAGGGAAGUGGAAUUUCCGGUGUAGCGGUGAAAUGCGUAGAUAUCGGAAGGAACACCAGUGGCGAA